CUCCCGUUGAUCCUGCGGGACCUGACUGCUAUCGGAUUGGUACUAAGCCAUGCGAGUCGUUGUAGCAAUACAAGGCGGACUGCUCAGUAACACGUAGUUAAUCUAACCUAUGGACGGGGAUAACCUCGGGAAACUGAGAAUAAUCCCCGAUAGAUCACAGUGCCUGGAAUGGCUUGUGGUUCAAAUGAUUUAUCGCCGUAGGAUGGGACUGCGGCCUAUCAGCUAGUUGGUGAGGUAAUGGCCCACCAAGGCUAUAACAGGUACGGGCUCUGAGAGGAGGGGCCCGGAGAUGGGUACUGAGACACGGACCCAGGCCCUAUGGGGCGCAGCAGGCGAGAAACCUUUGCAAUGUGCGAAAGCACGACAAGGUUAAUCCGAGUGUCUCCUGCUAAAGGAGUCUUUUGUCAGUCGUAGAACCACUGGUGAAUAAGGGGUGGGCAAGUUCUGGUGCCAGCAGCCGCGGUAAU
rnacentral:rRNA from 1 species